rnacentral:snRNA from 1 species
GUGAUUGUUUGGGCAGCACGUACACUCAAAGUGGAAUCAUACAGAGAAGAUUUGCAUGGCCCCUGCACAAGGAUGACAUGCAAAUUAGUGAAGCUUUCUGUAUUUUU